UGUACCAACAGUAUUUGUUCAUCGAAAAGCAGCAGCAUCAGAUAAAGGCCGCAAUGUUCGUGUUGCGAACAGAGAUAAACAAAAGUUUCUUCAUGAACUGUCAAAAGCCUCAGCAGCAAGUUCAGUAGCACCAGCACAAAGCCCUCCAUCAUCAGGUGAUUGUGACUCUGAAGAACCAGUUCAGCUGGGACAGCCAGAUCCUGUAUAUCCUGCCAAUGUGUGUCAUCGUGAGGUCCAGACAGACCCAGUACAGAUAUUUCC